AUCCAGAUGACGCUUCCCAAAUAGGAUGAAACGCACGUCCUUGAU
rnacentral:hammerhead_ribozyme from 1 species